GGGUUGUGAGGUUAAGCGACUAAGCGUACACGGUGGAUGCCCUGGCAGUCAGAGGCGAUGAAGGGCGUGCUAAUCUGCGAUAAGCGCCGGUAAGGUGAUAUGAACCGUUAUAACCGGCGAUACCCGAAUGGGGAAACCCAGUGUGAUUCGUCACACUAUCAUUAACUGAAUCCAUAGGUUAAUGAGGCGAACCGGGGGAACUGAAACAUCUAAGUACCCCGAGGAAAAGAAAUCAACCGAGAUUCCCCCAGUAGCGGCGAGCGAACGGGGAGGAGCCCAGAGCCUGAAUCAGCAUGUGUGUUAGUGGAAGCGUCUGGAAAGGCGCGCGAUACAGGGUGACAGCCCCGUACACAAAAGCGCAUGUGCUGUGAGCUCGAUGAGUAGGGCGGGACACGUGGUAUCCUGUCUGAAUAUGGGGGGACCAUCCUCCAAGGCUAAAUACUCCUGACUGACCGAUAGUGAACCAGUACCGUGAGGGAAAGGCGAAAAGAACCCCGGCGAGGGGAGUGAAAAAGAACCUGAAACCGUGUACGUACAAGCAGUGGGAGCACAGGUUUACCUGUGUGACUGCGUACCUUUUGUAUAAUGGGUCAGCGACUUAUAUUCUGUAGCAAGGUUAACCGUAUAGGGGAGCCGUAGGGAAACCGAGUCUUAAUUGGGCGUUAAGUUGCAGGGUAUAGACCCGAAACCCGGUGAUCUAGCCAUGGGCAGGUUGAAGGUUGGGUAACACUAACUGGAGGACCGAACCGACUAAUGUUGAAAAAUUAGCGGAUGACCUGUGGCUGGGGGUGAAAGGCCAAUCAAACCGGGAGAUAGCUGGUUCUCCCCGAAAGCUAUUUAGGUAGCGCCUCGUGAAUUCAUCUCCGGGGGUAGAGCACUGUUUCGGCUAGGGGGCCAUCCCGGCUUACCAACCCGAUGCAAACUGCGAAUACCGGAGAAUGUUAUCACGGGAGACACACGGCGGGUGCUAACGUCCGUCGUGAAGAGGGAAACAACCCAGACCGCCAGCUAAGGUCCCAAAGUCAUGGUUAAGUGGGAAACGAUGUGGGAAGGCCCAGACAGCCAGGAUGUUGGCUUAGAAGCAGCCAUCAUUUAAAGAAAGCGUAAUAGCUCACUGGUCGAGUCGGCCUGCGCGGAAGAUGUAACGGGGCUAAACCAUGCACCGAAGCUGCGGCAGCGACGCUUAUGCGUUGUUGGGUAGGGGAGCGUUCUGUAAGCCUGUGAAGGUGUGUCGUGAGGCAUGCUGGAGGUAUCAGAAGUGCGAAUGCUGACAUAAGUAACGAUAAAGCGGGUGAAAAGCCCGCUCGCCGGAAGACCAAGGGUUCCUGUCCAACGUUAAUCGGGGCAGGGUGAGUCGACCCCUAAGGCGAGGCCGAAAGGCGUAGUCGAUGGGAAACAGGUUAAUAUUCCUGUACUUGGUGUUACUGCGAAGGGGGGACGGAGAAGGCUAUGUUGGCCGGGCGACGGUUGUCCCGGUUUAAGCGUGUAGGUGUGUGUUCCAGGUAAAUCCGGUUCACUUUAACACUGAGGCGUGAUGACGAGGCACUACGGUGCUGAAGCAACAAAUGCCCUGCUUCCAGGAAAAGCCUCUAAGCAUCAGGUAACAUCAAAUCGUACCCCAAACCGACACAGGUGGUCAGGUAGAGAAUACCAAGGCGCUUGAGAGAACUCGGGUGAAGGAACUAGGCAAAAUGGUGCCGUAACUUCGGGAGAAGGCACGCUGACACGUAGGUGAAGUGAUUUACUCAUGGAGCUGAAGUCAGUCGAAGAUACCAGCUGGCUGCAACUGUUUAUUAAAAACACAGCACUGUGCAAACACGAAAGUGGACGUAUACGGUGUGACGCCUGCCCGGUGCCGGAAGGUUAAUUGAUGGGGUCAGCGCAAGCGAAGCUCCUGAUCGAAGCCCCGGUAAACGGCGGCCGUAACUAUAACGGUCCUAAGGUAGCGAAAUUCCUUGUCGGGUAAGUUCCGACCUGCACGAAUGGCGUAAUGAUGGCCAGGCUGUCUCCACCCGAGACUCAGUGAAAUUGAACUCGCUGUGAAGAUGCAGUGUACCCGCGGCAAGACGGAAAGACCCCGUGAACCUUUACUAUAGCUUGACACUGAACAUUGAGCCUUGAUGUGUAGGAUAGGUGGGAGGCUUUGAAG
rnacentral:rRNA from 1 species